AUAUCAAUAAGCGGAGGAAAAGAAACCAACAGGGAUUGCCCCAGUAACGGCGAGUGAAGCGGCAACAGCUCAAAUUUGAAAUCUGGCCCCCCGGCCCGAGUUGUAAUUUGUAGAGGAUGCUUUUGGUGCGGCGCCUUCCGAGUUCCCUGGAACGGGACGCCAUAGAGGGUGAGAGCCCCGUCUGGUUGGCCGCCAAGCCUCUGUAAAGCUCCUUCGACGAGUCGAGUAGUUUGGGAAUGCUGCUCUAAAUGGGAGGUAUAUGUCUUCUAAAGCUAAAUACCGGCCAGAGACCGAUAGCGCACAAGUAGAGUGAUCGAAAGAUGAAAAGCACUUUGAAAAGAGAGUUAAAUAGCACGUGAAAUUGUUGAAAGGGAAGCGCUUGUGACCAGACUUGGGCUUGGUUAAUCAUCCAGCGUUCUCGCUGGUGCACUUGGCCGGCCCAGGCCAGCAUCAGUUCGGCUUGGGGGAUAAAGGCGUCGGGAACGUGGCUCCCCCGGGAGUGUUAUAGCCCUUCGCGCAAUGCCCUGAGCCGGACUGAGGUUCGCGCAUCUGCAUGGAUGCUGGCGUAAUGGUCAUCAGCGACCCGUC
rnacentral:rRNA from 1 species